rnacentral:rRNA from 1 species
GACGAACGCUGGCGGCGUGCCUAACACAUGCAAGUCGAACGAGGGUAUGAUUUCGGUUGUACCCUAGUGGCGGACGGGUGAGUAACGCGUGAGCAACCUGGCUCUUUGAGGGGGAUAACACUCGGAAACGGGUGCUAAUACCGCAUAAGACCACGCUUCGGCAUCGGAGAGAGGUCAAAGGAGAAAUCCGCAGAGAGAGGGGCUCGCGUCCCAUUAGAUAGAUGGCGGGGUAACGGCCCACCAUGUCGACGAUGGGUAGCCGAGCUGAGAGGCUGAUCGGCCACACUGGAACUGAGACACGGUCCAGGCUCCUACGGGAGGCAGCAGUGGGGAAUAUUGGGCAAUGGGCGCAAGCCUGACCCAGCAACGCCGCGUGAGGGAAGAAGGCUUUCGGGUUGUAAACCUCUGUCCUUGGUGACGAAAAAAAUGACGGUAGCCAAGGAGGAAGCCCCGGCUAACUACGUGCCAGCCGCCGCGGUAAGAC